UUCACAAAAUUUCACAAAGGA
rnacentral:piRNA from 1 species